rnacentral:rRNA from 1 species
UCAGUAUUAGAGGCACUGCCUGCCCAGUGACAUUAGUUUAACGGCCGCGGUAUCCUGACCGUGCAAAGGUAGCAUAAUCAUUUGUUCCUUAAUUAGGGACUUGUAUGAAUGGCCCCACGAGGGUUUAACUGUCUCUUACUUUUAAUCAGUGAAAUUGACCUUCCCGUGAAGAGGCGGGAAUACAAAAAUAAGACGAGAAGACCCUAUGGAGCUUAAAUUAAAGUGUCCAACAAAAUUUAAACUUAAUCCAACAGGAAUAAUAACAUUUUAACUGGACAACAAAUUUUGGUUGGGGUGACCUCGGAGUAUAACAAAACCUCCGAGCGAUUAUAACCAAGACUUACCCGUCAAGGUGACAUAAUUUAUUGAUCCAAUCAUAUUGAUCAACGAAACAAGUUACCCUAGGGAUAACAGCGCAAUCCUAUUUAAGAGUCCAUAUCGACAAUAGGGUUUACGACCUCGAUGUUGGAUCAGGACCCCCAARUGGUGCAGCAGCUAUUAAAGGUUCGUUUGUUCAACG